rnacentral:rRNA from 1 species
UUACAGAGUGUAAAAACUCCCAAACCCUUUGUGAACAUACCACUGUUGCCUCGGCGGAGCUGCCCGGCAGCUACCCUGUAGCUGCCCCGUAGCCGCCGGCGGACCACCAAACUCUGAUUAUGUAGAUAUCUGAGCGUACUUUUAAAUAAGUCAAAACUUUCAACAACGGAUCUCUUGGUUCUGGCAUCGAUGAAGAACGCAGCGAAAUGCGAUAAGUAAUGUGAAUUGCAGAAUUCAGUGAAUCAUCGAAUCUUUGAACGCACAUUGCGCCCAUUAGUACUCUAGUGGGCAUGCCUGUUCGAGCGUCAUUUCAACCCUCAAGCCCGGCUUGGUAUUGGGAGCCUACGUGCGGCAGCUACCCUGUAGCUACCCUGUAGCUCCUUAAAGACAACGGCGGAGACGUGGAGUCCUCUGAGCUUAGUAACUUUUUUCUAGCUUCUGAAGGCGCCGCGGCCCCUGCCGUAAAACCCCCAACUUUUUUAGUGGUUGACCUCGGAUCAGGUAGGAUUACCCGCUGAACUUAAGCAUAUCAAUAAGCGGAGGAAAAGAAACCAACAGGGAUUGCCUUAGUAACGGCGAGUGAAGCGGCAACAGCUCAAAUUUGAAAGCUGGCCUUCGGGUCCGCGUUGUAAUUUGUAGAGGAUGCUUUUGGUAAGGUGCCUUACGAGUUCCCUGGAACGGGACGCCUUAGAGGGUGAGAGCCCCGUACGUUUGGUUACCGAGCCUCUGUAAAGCUCCUUCGACGAGUCGAGUAGUUUGGGAAUGCUGCUCU